rnacentral:rRNA from 1 species
CUCAUAAGUCUUUACGGAGAAAGCUUUAUGCGCCGAAGGAUGAGCCUGCACUUGAUUAGUUUGUUGGUGGGGUAAUGGCCUACCAAGACUUUGAUCUAUAGCUGAUCUGAGAGGAUGAUCAGCCACAUUGGGACUGAGACACGGCCCAAACUCCUACGGGAGGCAGCAGUAGGGAAUAUUGCACAAUGGAGGAAACUCUGAUGCAGCGAUGCCGCGUGAGUGAAGAAGG